ACGGGUGAGUAACGCGUGGGAAUCUACCCAACCCUACGGAAUAACGCAUGGAAACGUGUGCUAAUACCGUAUACGCCCUUCGGGGGAAAGAUUUAUCGGGGAUGGAUGAGCCCGCGUUGGAUUAGCUAGUUGGUGGGGUAAAGGCCUACCAAGGCGACGAUCCAUAGCUGGUCUGAGAGGAUGAUCAGCCACAUUGGGACUGAGACACGGCCCAAACUCCUACGGGAGGCAGCAGUGGGGAAUAUUGGACAAUGGGCGCAAGCCUGAUCCAGCCAUGCCGCGUGAGUGAUGAAGGCCCUAGGGUUGUAAAGCUCUUUCACCGAUGAAGAUAAUGACGGUAGUCGGAGAAGAAGCCCCGGCUAACUUCGUGCCAGCAGCCGCGGUAAUACGAAGGGGGCUAGCGUUGUUCGGAAUUACUGGGCGUAAAGCGCACGUAGGCGGAUAUUUAAGUCAGGGGUGAAAUCCCAGAGCUCAACUCUGGAACUGCCUUUGAUACUGGGUAUCUCGAGUAUGGAAGAGGUGAGUGGAAUUCCGAGUGUAGAGGUGAAAUUCGUAGA
rnacentral:rRNA from 3 species